AGACAUUGCACUCUUCCAGGAAAAGACGACCCUCGAUAAGGCUCCAACAGAGAAACAUGAAAGAUUGGAUGUACCUUCAUAGAAGCCGAUAAUUCCAGAUGGUAUGCCACUGGAUUGAUUUGCCUCUAGAUGAUAAAUGGUCACAAUCUUCGAUAGUCUAACUUAUCACAUGGUCGCUUGGUCUUGAUAUUCUGUCAAAGAAGCCAUGCUUUAUCUCCAAUUUUGAAAGUAGGUGCUUGAUUCCGAAAUCUAUCUGCAAACGCCUUGUAGGAUUCUUGAGCGGAUUGUAAUUGAAGCUUCAAUGUAUUUUGAAGCUCUGAUAGUUGUUUCGCAAAAUCCUUCAGCUGUUGGAUUGUUAUUUGUUGACGGACUCAAUAAAUCAAGCUUUAGAUAAAUCUCGCUCGCGUAGUUUCUCCAAGACCAAACGAACAUGCUUUUCAUGCUCUUCCUCAUUUUUGGAGAAUAUCAAAA
rnacentral:lncRNA from 1 species